GAAACUGAGUAUAAUGCCCGAUAGAACACUAUACCUGGAAUGGUUUGUGUUCCAAAUGAAUGUCGCCGUAGGAUGGGACUGCGGCCUAUCAGUUUGUUGGUGAGGUAAUGGCCCACCAAGACUAUUACAGGUACGGGCUCUGAGAGGAGUAGCCCGGAGAUGGGUACUGAGACACGGACCCAGGCCCUAUGGGGCGCAGCAGGCGAGAAAACUUUGCAAUGUGCGAAAGCACGACAAGGUUAAUCCGAGUGGUUUGUGCUAAACGAACCUUUUGACAGUCCUAGAAACACUGUUGAAUAAGGGGUGGGCAAGUUCUGGUGUCAGCCGCCGCGGUAAAACCAGCACCUCAAGUGGUCAGGAUGAUUAUUGGGCCUAAAGCAUCCGUAGCCGGCUCUGUAAGUUUUCGGUUAAAUCUGUACGCUCAACGUACAGGCUGCCGGGAAUACUGCAGAGCUAGGGAGUGGGAGAGGUAGACGGUACUCGGUAGGAAGGGGUAAAAUCCUUUGAUCUAUUGAUGACCACCUGUGGCGAAGGCGGUCUACCAGAACACGUCCGACGGUGAGGGAUGAAAGCUGGGGGAGCAAACCGGAUUAGAUACCCGGGUAGUCCCAGCUGUAAACUAUGCAAACUCAGUGAUGCAUUGGCUUGUGGCCAAUGCAGUGCUGCAGGGAAGCCGUUAAGUUUGCCGCCUGGGAAGUACGUACGCAAGUAUGAAACUUAAAGGAAUUGGCGGGGGAGCACCACAAGGGGUGAAGCCUGCGGUUC
rnacentral:rRNA from 1 species